UCGUGGGGGAUAACGCAGCGAAAGCUGGGCUAAUACCGCAUACGAUCUACGGAUGAAAGCAGGGGAUCGCAAGACCUUGCGCGAAUGGAGCGGCCGAUGGCAGAUUAGGUAGUUGGUGAGGUAAAGGCUCACCAAGCCUUCGAUCUGUAGCUGGUCUGAGAGGACGACCAGCCACACUGGGACUGAGACACGGCCCAGACUCCUACGGGAGGCAGCAGUGGGGAAUUUUGGACAAUGGGCGCAAGCCUGAUCCAGCCAUGCCGCGUGCAGGAUGAAGGCCUUCGGGUUGUAAACUGCUUUUGUACGGAACGAAACGGCUCUUUCUAAUAAAGAGGGCUAAUGACUGUAUUGUUUAUAAUAAGCACCGGCUAACUACGUGCCAGCAGCCGCGGUAAUACGUAGGGUGCAAGCGUUAAUCGGAAUUACUGGGCGUAAAGCGUGCGCAGGCGGUAAUGUAAGACAGUUGUGAAAUCCCCGGGCUCAACCUGGGAACUGCAUCUGUGACUGCAUUGCUGGAGUAC
rnacentral:rRNA from 1 species